AUUGAACGCUGGCGGCAUGCCUUACACAUGCAAGUCGAACGGCAGCACGGACUUCGGUCUGGUGGCGAGUGGCGAACGGGUGAGCAAUAUAUCGGAACGUACCUUUCAGUGGGGGAUAACUAUCCGAAAGGAUAGCUAAUACCGCAUAUUCUGUGAGCAGGAAAGCAGGGGAUCUUCGGACCUUGCGCUGAUUGAGCGGCCGAUAUCAGAAUAGUUAGUUGGUGGGGUAAAGGCCUACCAAGGCGAAGAUCUGUAGCGGGUCUGAGAGGAUGAUCCGCCACACUGGAACUGAGACACGGUCCAGACUCCUACGGGAGGCAGCAGUGGGGAAUUUUGGACAAUGGGGGCAACCCUGAUCCAGCCAUGCCGCGUGAGUGAAGAAGGCCUUCGGGUUGUAAAGCUCUUUCGUCCGGGAAGAAAUCGCAUUGGUUAAUACCUGAUGUGGAUGACGGUACCGGAAUAAGAAGCACCGGCUAACUACGUGCCAGCCGCCGCAGUAAAAC
rnacentral:rRNA from 1 species